rnacentral:rRNA from 1 species
UACGUAGGGUGCAAGCGUUAAUCGGAAUUACUGGGCGUAAAGCGUGCGCAGGCGGUGAUGUAAGACAGAUGUGAAAUCCCCGGGCUCAACCUGGGACCUGCAUUUGUGACUGCAUCGCUAGAGUACGGUAGAGGGGGAUGGAAUUCCGCGUGUAGCAGUGAAAUGCGUAGAUAUGCGGAGGAACACCGAUGGCGAAGGCAAUCCCCUGGACCUGUACUGACGCUCAUGCACGAAAGCGUGGGGAGUAAACAGG